rnacentral:rRNA from 1 species
UCAUCUGGAAAGAUGAAUCAAAGAAGGUAAUAAUCCUGUAGUCGAAAAUGUUGUCUCUCUUGAGUGGAUCCUGAGUACGACGGAGCACGUGAAAUUCCGUCGGAAUCUGGGAGGACCAUCUCCUAAGGCUAAAUACUCUCUAGUGACCGAUAGCGAACCAGUACCGUGAGGGAAAGGUGAAAAGCACCCCGGAAGGGGAGUGAAAUAGAACCUGAAACCGUGUGCUUACAAGUAGUCAGAGCCCGUUAAUGGGUGAUAGCGUGCCUUUUGUAGAAUGAACCGGCGAGUUACGAUUUGAUGCAAGGUUAAGCAGUAAAUGUGGAGCCGUAGCGAAAGCGAGUCUGAAUAGGGCGUUUAGUAUUUGGUCGUAGACCCGAAACCAGGUGAUCUACCCUUGGUCAGGUUGAAGUUCAGGUAACACUGAAUGGAGGACCGAACCGACUUACGUUGAAAAGUGAGCGGAUGAACUGAGGGUAGCGGAGAAAUUCCAAUCGAACCUGGAGAUAGCUGGUUCUCUCCGAAAUAGCUUUAGGGCUAGCCUCAAGUGAUGAUUAUUGGAGGUAGAGCACUGUUUGGACGAGGGGCCCCUCUCGGGUUACCGAAUUCAGACAAACUCCGAAUGCCAAUUAAUUUAACUUGGGAGUCAGAACAUGGGUGAUAAGGUCCGUGUUCGAAAGGGAAACAGCCCAGACCACCAGCUAAGGUCCCAAAAUAUAUGUUAAGUGGAAAAGGAUGUGGCGUUGCCCAGACAACUAGGAUGUUGGCUUAGAAGCAGCCAUCAUUUAAAGAGUGCGUAAUAGCUCACUAGUCGAGUGACACUGCGCCGAAAAUGUACCGGGGCUAAACAUAUUACCGAAGCUGUGGAUUGUCCUUUGGACAAUGGUAGGAGAGCGUUCUAAGGGCGUUGAAGCAUGAUCGUAAGGACAUGUGGAGCGCUUAGAAGUGAGAAUGCCGGUGUGAGUAGCGAAAGACGGGUGAGAAUCCCGUCCACCGAUUGACUAAGGUUUCCAGAGGAAGGCUCGUCCGCUCUGGGUUAGUCGGGUCCUAAGCUGAGGCCGACAGGCGUAGGCGAUGGAUAACAGGUUGAUAUUCCUGUACCACCUAUAAUCGUUUUAAUCGAUGGGGGGACGCAGUAGGAUAGGCGAAGCGUGCGAUUGGAUUGCACGUCUAAGCAGUAAGGCUGAGUAUUAGGCAAAUCCGGUACUCAUUAAGGCUGAGCUGUGAUGGGGAGAAGACAUUGUGUCUUCGAGUCGUUGAUUUCACACUGCCGAGAAAAGCCUCUAGAUAGAAAAUAGGUGCCCGUACCGCAAACCGACACAGGUAGUCAAGAUGAGAAUUCUAAGGUGAGCGAGCGAACUCUCGUUAAGGAACUCGGCAAAAUGACCCCGUAACUUCGGGAGAAGGGGUGCUCUUUAGGGUUAACGCCCAGAAGAGCCGCAGUGAAUAGGCCCAAGCGACUGUUUAUCAAAAACACAGGUCUCUGCUAAACCGUAAGGUGAUGUAUAGGGGCUGACGCCUGCCCGGUGCUGGAAGGUUAAGAGGAGUGGUUAGCUUCUGCGAAGCUACGAAUCGAAGCCCCAGUAAACGGCGGCCGUAACUAUAACGGUCCUAAGGUAGCGAAAUUCCUUGUCGGGUAAGUUCCGACCCGCACGAAAGGCGUAACGAUUUGGGCACUGUCUCAACGAGAGACUCGGUGAAAUCAUAGUACCUGUGAAGAUGCAGGUUACCCGCGACAGGACGGAAAGACCCCGUGGAGCUUUACUGUAGCCUGAUAUUGAAAUUCGGCACAGCUUGUACAGGAUAGGUAGGAGCCUUUGAAACGUGAGCGCUAGCUUACGUGGAGGCGCUGGUGGGAUACUACCCUAGCUGUGUUGGCUUUCUAACCCGCACCACUUAUCGUGGUGGGAGACAGUGUCAGGCGGGCAGUUUGACUGGGGCGGUCGCCUCCUAAAAGGUAACGGAGGCGCUCAAAGGUUCCCUCAGAAUGGUUGGAAAUCAUUCAUAGAGUGUAAAGGCAUAAGGGAGCUUGACUGCGAGACCUACAAGUCGAGCAGGGUCGAAAGACGGACUUAGUGAUCCGGUGGUUCCGCAUGGAAGGGCCAUCGCUCAACGGAUAAAAGCUACCCCGGGGAUAACAGGCUUAUCUCCCCCAAGAGUUCACAUCGACGGGGAGGUUUGGCACCUCGAUGUCGGCUCAUCGCAUCCUGGGGCUGUAGUCGGUCCCAAGGG